GGGUACCUUACCAGCCUAGGGCUUCACUGCUCCAUAAACAUUUUGCCUUGCUAAUGCCUACAUUAACUCAGAUCCCAGCUUGAUAUGGAUUGGUUGCCAGUGACAGGGACUGCAGGGGAAUUGUUGAACAGAGAAAAUGACAGAAGGACUGGGUCAAAGGAUACAAGGUGAUCUCCUGGUGGGCCUACAUACUCUGUUCACAAGAUGACCUACCUACCUUAGAAAAGAGGAUAACAGGUGAGAAAAUGGAAGGCCAAGGAGGAGAGAAAGAUGAUAGAGGAAAACAGAAGAAGGAAAGAGAAGAGAAAUUAGAAGAGUGGGGAAAGCAAAAAUGUUGACUGUAUAAUUGGUGUGAACUACUCAUUGUUUCGUAUGGCAGUGCUGGUUAUGAAGAAGAGCAGAGAGAAUAUUAGCUAUGAGUUCACAGACUUACAGUGGACAAUCCGGCCAAUCUCUAUGGUCAUAGUAACGUUGACAAGUUCAUCUGGUGAAUUAUACAGCAGGACUGCAACAGGAACAAUUCCUAUAGACAUGGUCUAUGGUCUUCUUGCACCCUUCUUGCACUGAGGGGGCACUGCAACAGAGCUCAGAGACCAAUUGCAAUUCUACAAACAUGCUAAAAAAGAACAUUAUAUUCACUAGGCAGUUGGCUAAGACUUCAUCAGUGAGGACCCACCAGUGCAGCCAUCUGGCUGAUGGUCAGGAAGCAGAAUAAAUCUUUUUUUCCUGUGCCCAGAAAUACGUUUUGCUGCAUUAAAAAGAGCCACUGCACCAUCA